UUACCUAAUAUUAGGCUCUGCAUAAUAAUAAUAAUAAUAAUAAUAAUAAUAAUAAUAUUAACUACAAUAAUAAUAAUAAUAACAAAUUAAUAAUUCAAACAAAUAAUGUGCCUCUGCCCUUUGGAGGGGUGAUGUAUUUUAAUUAGGCGCGUUACAGUGAACCUUCUGUUUUGAUACCAUGUUAAAGAAUAUAUAAUAAUAACUGUUAUUUUUUAAAAGCUUAAGCUAUAUGAUCAGUAGGGCUGGCAAUUCAGCUCGUUAUUCGUGAGCCAGCUAGUGUUCGGCUCGAAAAUGAAGCUAAUUUCUUUAGGUCGAAAUCUUAACUGAGCCAAAUACGAGUUUGAAUCGGCUCGCUUGUGUUCGAUUCGAUAACAGCUCAAAUACAUAUAUUUUAUAUUUUAUAUUAUUUAGAGUCCGGCUAUGGUGCUUGUAAAAGUACCAAUUAUUUGGUACUUGUAAAUUUUUUACCGUUAGAUCUACGUCUUUGAUUAUUUUCACCCGUUAGAUUAUACUAUUCAACCAACCACCCACUCAACCCUAGGAGGCCCAUAUCAUCUUAACCGCACAUUUCUUAAUCCAAAGGCAAAAAACUUACAAGUACCAAUGACUUGGUACUUUUAAAAGCAUAGGAGCUUAGUUCUAUUAUUUACAUAUAAUAUAAGUUUUUAUUUAUUUAAUUUUUAGUCCAAUCCAAAUAUAAAUUAUAACUAAAUUAUAAAAAAAUAAUUUUAAUCAUUAGAUCAAAGUCUAAUAGAUAAAGUUUAUAUAUAUAUAUUCUUAUUAUAAACGAGCUGAAUUCGAGCUGAAUUUUUCGGUUUAAUAUUUUAAUUGGUCAGCUGGAUGCCACGUCAUCCAGCUC
rnacentral:lncRNA from 1 species